CAGUGUGUUCGUGUCAUCGAUAAAGCAAAGUUGACGAUAUAUCCAACUGCAACAGAUAGGUCAAAACUUCUAUAUGUGCUGCAUAUCCUUAAAUCCAUGCUUCCAGAAGUGAACGUCAGGGUUAUCAUUUAUGAAGAUGUGUGCUGGUAGAUGUGCCAUUUUGGUGCUAUUUAUGACCUUUCUGCUAAUGAAUCCAGGGUAUUCGAACUAUUGAAAGAGCUGCUAUCAGCCAGACUGAAGACAGAUACACCUCAUUACUUCAAGGCGAGGACAAGCCUAGGAAAAUAUGACGUAAUCUGUCGGAGCUAAGCUUAAAGAAAAACGCGAUGAGGACAGCUUGAAGUUUGUUCAGAAGGCGGUUCACACACCGAGAAAACAGGUCGGCUUCUUUUGCGUCGCAACAGGCGGGCAGUGCAAGUCAUUAUGAUACACUGUUCUUUACAGACAUUGCCAGUUAAGCCACUCCAUUAUUUGGUGCCGUGGGUGCAAUAAGAUGAUGCUUCCGCUCUUAUCUGUUGGAUUAUUACUUUUGUACGUCAGGUCCACUGAAAAUAAACUGGUCAAUUUUGUAUGGACUACAAUUGUGUUGCUUUAUGUGGUUAUUUUUGCUACUGUUUGGUUUGCACCUGGUUUGCUUUUCGAUGGCUGCUCUCUACUUUUCUAUACAACGAGCUAUUGCCCUACAUGAUUAGCAAGAUUUUCCUUCCCAUUGCGUGUAAAUUUGUAAUCAAGUUGUUAUAUGGUUCGGUCACCAUAUGGU